GAUGAACGCUGGCGGCGUGCCUAAUACAUGCAAGUCGAGCGAAUGGAUUAAGAGCUUGCUCUUAUGAAGUUAGCGGCGGACGGGUGAGUAACACGUGGGUAACCUGCCCAUAAGACUGGGAUAACUCCGGGAAACCGGGGCUAAUACCGGAUAACAUUUUGAACCGCAUGGUUCGAAAUUGAAAGGCGGCUUCGGCUGUCACUUAUGAAUGGACCCGGGUCGCAUUAGCUAGUUGGUGAGGUAACGGCUCACCAAGGAAACGAUGCGUAGCCGACCUGAGAGGGUGAUCGGCCACACUGGGACUGAGACACGGCCCAGACUCCUACGGGAGGCAGCAGUAGGGAAUCUUCCGCAAUGGACGAAAGUCUGACGGAGCAACGCCGCGUGAGUGAUGAAGGCUUUCGGGUCGUAAAACUCUGUUGUUAGGGAAGAACAAGUGCUAGUUGAAUAAGCUGACACCUUGACGGUACCUAACCAGAAAGCCACGGCUAACUACGUGCCAGCAGCCGCCGUAA
rnacentral:rRNA from 1 species